rnacentral:rRNA from 1 species
UCGAGAAUCUUCGUCAAUGGGCGCAAGCCUGAACGAGCGAUGCCGCGUGAGCGAUGAAGGCCUUCGGGUUGUAAAGCUCAAAAGAGGGGAGAAAGGGAAACUUGAUCAAACCUCAGUAAGCUCGGGCUAAGUUCGUGCCAGCAGCCGCGGUAAGACGAACCGAGCGAACGUUGUUCGGAAUCACUGGGCUGAAAGGGCGCGUAGGCGGGCAUUCAAGGCCGUGGGGAAAUCCCACAGCUCAACUGUGGA